GACGAACGCUGGCGGCGUGCUUAACACAUGCAAGUCGAACGGUAAGGCCCUUUCGGGGGUACACGAGUGGCGAACGGGUGAGUAACACGUGGGUGAUCUGCCCUGCACUUUGGGAUAAGCCUGGGAAACUGGGUCUAAUACCGGAUAGGACUACGCGAUGCAUGUCGUGUGGUGGAAAGCUUUUGCGGUGUGGGAUGGGCCCGCGGCCUAUCAGCUUGUUGGUGGGGUGAUGGCCUACCAAGGCGACGACGGGUAGCCGGCCUGGGAGGGUGUCCGGCCACACUGGGACUGAGAUACGGCCCAGACUCCUACGGGAGGCAGCAGUGGGGAAUAUUGCACAAUGGGCGCAAGCCUGAUGCAGCGACGCCGCGUGGGGGAUGACGGCCUUCGGGUUGUAAACCCCUUUCAGCACAGACGAAGCGUAAGUGACGGUAGGUGCAGAAGAAGCACCGGCCAACUACGUG
rnacentral:rRNA from 1 species